rnacentral:rRNA from 1 species
GGAAUCUUGCGCAAUGGGCGAAAGCCUGACGCAGCAACGCCGCGUGCGGGAUGAAGGCCUUCGGGUUGUAAACCGCUUUUACCAGGAAGGAAAAUGACAGUACCUGGAGAAUAAGGUGCGGCCAACUACGUGCCAGCAGCCGCGGUGACACGUAGGCACCAAGCGUUGUCCGGAUUUAUUGGGCGUAAAGAGCUCGUAGGCGGUUCAGUAAGUCGGGUGUGAAAACUCUGGGCUCAACUCAGAGACGCCACCCGAUACUGCUGUGACUUGAGUCCGGUAGGGGAGUGGGGAAUUCCUGGUGUAGCGGUGAAAUGCGCAGAUAUCAGGAGGAACACCAAUGGCGAAGGCACCACUCUGGGCUGAGACUGACGCUGAGGAGCGAAAGCGUGGGUAGCAAACAGGAUUAGAUACCCUGGUAGUCCACGCCGUAAACGGUGGGCACUAGGUGUGGGUUCCAACCAACGGAAUCCGCGCCGGCGCUAACGCAUUAAGUGCCCCGCCUGGGGAGUACGGCCGCAAGGUUAAAACUCAAAGGAAUUGACGG